CAGUCGCCGCGGUAAUACAGAGGGUGCGAGCGUUAAUCGGAUUUACUGGGCGUAAAGCGUGCGUAGGCGGCUAAUUGAGUCGGAUGUGAAAUCCCCGAGCUUAACUUGGGAAUUGCAUUCGAUACUGGGAAGCUAGAGUAUGGGAGAGGAUGGUAGAAUUCCAGGUGUAGCGGUGAAAUGCGUAGAGAUCUGGAGGAAUACCGAUGGCGAAGGCAGCCAUCUGGCCUAAUACUGACGCUGAGGUACGAAAGCAUGGGGAGCAAACAGGAUUAGAUACCCCAGUAGUCCCUGUCUCUUAUAC
rnacentral:rRNA from 1 species